CUAAACAGACAUCAAUUAAAGCGUAACUCCGGCCAAAAUGCAACCUAGGGUCUUUUUGUAAAUGUACACGAGUCAAAUGUUUGUUUAUAGCAUAAUUAAGAUGGAAGCGAGACUUUUAAGAUUUACCGCAUUAUCAUUUUUCAGUCAAAUGACCUUUUGAAUGGGAGAGCCAGGGGCGCUACUAUGAUA